rnacentral:rRNA from 1 species
GACAGAGGUUGCAAACGUUGUUCGGAAUUACUGGGCAUAAAGCGCACGUAGGCGGUCCGUUAAGUCAUGUGUGAAAUCCCCCGGCUCAACCGGGGAAUUGCGCCUGAUACUGGCGGGCUAGAGAUCGAUAGGGGUGAUCGGAACUCCAGGUGGAGCGGUGAAAUGCGUAGAUAUAGGGAAGAACACCAAAAAAGGCGAAGGCAGUUAACUAUUCUAUUCCUGACGUUGAGGCAUGAAAGCGUGGGGAGCAAAACGG